AUACAUGCAAGUCGAGCGCGUGAAGCUAAACUGAACUCUUCGGAGUGACGUUUGCGGAUCAUGCGGCGGAUGGGUGAGUAACACGUGGGCAACCUGCCUAUAAGACUGGGAUAACUUACGGAAACGUGAGCUAAUACCGGAUGAAACCUCUUAUCACCUGGUAAGAGGAUGAAAGAUGGCUUUUAGCUAUCACUUAUAGAUGGGCCCGCGGCGCAUUAGCUAGUUGGUGAGAUAAAAGCUCACCAAGGCAACGAUGCGUAGCCRACCUGAGAGGGUGAUCGGCCACACUGGGACUGAGACACGGCCCAGACUCCUACGGGAGGCAGCAGUAGGGAAUCUUCCGCAAUGGACGAAAGUCUGACGGAGCAACGCCGCGUGAACGAAGAAGGUUCUCGGAUCGUAAAGUUCUGUUGUUAGGGAAGAACACGUACCAUUCGAAUAGGGUGGUACCUUGACGGUACCUAACGAGAAAGCCCCGGCUAACUACGUGCCAGCAGCCGCGGUAAUACGUAGGGGGCAAGCGUUGUCCGGAAUUAUKGGGCGUAAAGCGCUCGCAGGCGGUUUUUUAAGUCUGAUGUGAAAUCUUGCGGCUCAACCGCAAGCGGUCAUUGGAAACUGGAGAACUUGAGGACAGAAGAGGAGAGUGGAAUUCCACGUGUAGCGGUGAAAUGCGUAGAGAUGUGGAGGAACACCAGUGGCGAAGGCGACUCUCUGGUCUGUAACUGACGCUGAGGAGCGAAAGCGUGGUAGCGAACAGGAUUAGAUACCCUGGUAGUCCACGCCGUAACGAUGAGUGCUAGGUGUUAGGGGUUUCCGCCCCUUAGUGCUGGCGUUACGCAUUAAGC
rnacentral:rRNA from 1 species